rnacentral:rRNA from 1 species
AACGAACGCUGGCGGCAUGCCUAACACAUGCAAGUCGAACGAGACCUUCGGGUCUAGUGGCGCACGGGUGCGUAACGCGUUGGAACCUGCCCUUAGGUUCGGAAUAACUCCCCGAAAGGGGUGUUAAAACCGGCUAAUGUCUUGGGACCAAAGAUUUGUCGCCUUUGGAUGGGCCCGCGUUGGAUUAGCUAGUUGGUAGGGUAAAAGCCUACCAAGGCGACGAUCCAUAGCUGGUCUGAGAGGAUGAUCAGCCACUCUGGUACUGAGACACGGCCCAGACUCCUACGGGAGGCAGCAGUGGGGAAUAUUGGACAAUGGGCGAAAGCCUGAUCCAGCAAUGCCGCGUGAGUGAUGAAGGCCUGAGGGUUGUAAAGCUCUUUUACCCGGGAUGAUAAUGACAGUACCGGGAGAAUAAGCUCCGGCUAACUCCGUG